rnacentral:tRNA from 1 species
GUGGAGCUCAGUUGCUAGAGUGUGAGCCUAGCAUGCUUGAAGCCCUGGGUUCAAGCCCCAGCAC